UCCGUGGCGCUGGUGGCAACUCCUCGCCUGCAGGGAGCGGCGGCCCCGGGUACCUGGCCAAGGAGCUCUGCGAAAAAGCCCCCGACAAGACGUCACCAGCGUCAGAUGCCAGGCGCAGCAGGGAGCAGACCUGCGGACGGCGCAGCUCAAA
rnacentral:SRP_RNA from 15 species